UGUUUCAUAAACUACAUGUGAAGGAGAAGAAUUGUAGCAAAUUUGUUUAAACAAUUAUUUACAAGUAGUUAUACAGGGUGAGUAUUAUGAUAACGGGACCCUGACCAAAUUUCAACACAACACAAAAUACAUAUCUCGUAUGUAACUCUUUUUAUAUUUCAUUUUUAUAAAAUGCUCAAACAUGACAAACAUUAACCUGGUAGUUAAUUUUGACUUUCGCAAUAAUUCUAUUUUUCAAUUUUGAGCUCCGAUAAGUUUUUAGUCUUCGCGAUAAGAUGAGGGUACACGAACCAUGAAAAAGUCGAUAUGAUUUUGAUUUUUAGAUAAUGCGGAAAAAUGCCACUGCAGCAGCAAAUCUCUAUGAAAGAAGAUAUCCCGAUAGGCGAGAUCCAUCCGACCAAAUUUUUAGCAAAAUAGAGGACUUACUGCUACUGGUGUCGAAAAUGAAAUUCCUGUAAUUGAAGCCGUAGGCAAUGACCCGCAUAGCGAAUAAGUUCCACCCUUACCAUGUGACAUUAGUACAAGAUCUAAAAGAAGAAGACAACUAGAGUUGGACAACAAUUUUUUAUUCAAAGUUUUCUUCAGCGAUGAAGCAGGAUUUGGCAAUACCGGGGCUAUUAAUCGGCACAACUGUCACUAUUACUCCCUAAAUAACCCACACUGGAUCAGAAUAGCUCAUUUUCAAAAUGUUUAUUCCAUAAAUGGGUGGGCUGGUAUUAUUGUAGACUGCAGAUUUCGUAAUUGGCCCAUACUUCUUGGAAGGCAACUUAAAAGGAGACAGGUAUCGACAAUUUUUGGAAAAUAAUUUUCCGGUGUUAUUAGAAAAUGUUCCUCUCAACUUCCGACAACAGCUGUGGUUUCAACAGGAUGGGGUACCACCUCAUUAUCACAGAGUCGUUAGGUACUACCUUGAUGAGACAUUUGCAAAUAAGUGGAUUGGCAGAGGCAGUGUAAAUGUAUGGCUCCCUCGUACUCCCGAUUUAACACCUUUAGAUUUCUUCCUCUGGGGGGUUGUAAAAGAAAAAGUUUACCAAAGUCCUAUUCGUAAUUGUGAAGAUUUAAAAACCAGAAUUAGAAAUGCAGGUUCUGCAAUAUCUCCUGAAACACUUGCCCGCGUCCUGUUGUCUUGCUGAAAUCGCAUCGAAUUGUGUGUUGCGCAGGAAGGAAGGCAUUUUGAACAGUACUUACGCUAGUUAAAUUUAUUUAAUUGUUCAAUUUAUUUAUUACAUUUCUUUGAAUUAAUAUG